GUCGAGCGGAUGAGGGAGCUUGCUCCUGGAUUCAGCGGCGGACGGGUGAGUAAUGCCUAGGAAUCUGCCUGGUAGUGGGGGAUAACGUUCCGAAAGGAACGCUAAUACCGCGUACGUCCUACGGGAGAAAGCAGGGGACCUUCGGGCCUUGCGCUAUCAGAUGAGCCUAGGUCGGAUUAGCUAGUUGGUGAGGUAAUGGCUCACCAAGGCGACGAUCCGUAACUGGUCUGAGAGGAUGAUCAGUCACACUGGAACUGAGACACGGUCCAGACUCCUACGGGAGGCAGCAGUGGGGAAUAUUGGACAAUGGGCGAAAGCCUGAUCCAGCCAUGCCGCGUGUGUGAAGAAGGUCUUCGGAUUGUAAAGCACUUUAAGUUGGGAGGAAGGGCUGUAGGCUAAUAUCCUGCGGUUUUGACGUUACCAACAGAAUAAGCACCGGCUAACUUCGUGCCAGCAGCCGCGGUAAUACGAAGGGUGCAAGCGUUAAUCGGAAUUACUGGGCGUAAAGCGCGCGUAGGUGGUUCGUUAAGUUGGAUGUGAAAGCCCCGGGCUCAACCUGGGAACUGCAUCCAAAACUGGCGAGCUAGAGUACGGUAGAGGGUAGUGGAAUUUCCUGUGUAGCGGUGAAAUGCGUAGAUAUAGGAAGGAAA
rnacentral:rRNA from 1 species